UUAGCGUUAAGGUACUGAAUCUCUUUAGUCGCAGUAGGCGGAAAACGAACAAGCGCAAGAGUAAACAUAGUGCCAUGCUCAGGAACAAAGAAACGCGGCACAGAAUGUUUAUAGGUCUGUUGAACACGACCAGAAAACUGGCCUAACGACGUUUGGUCAGUUCCAUCAACAUCAUAGCCAGAUGCCCAGAGAUUAGAGCGCAUGACAAGUAAAGGACGGU
rnacentral:rRNA from 1 species